UCCCAAGUAGCUGGGACUACAGGCAUGUGCCACCAUACCCAGUUUCUGAAUACUAAGUUCCCUGAAGGACAACCAGCUUAAUCAAGAUGAUUUCUCAAGAUCUCAGCAAAUUCCUCUUAUGAUGAGUCGGAGUGUCCGCGGUGAGAAAUGGCUGUCAAAUGGGAGAAAAGCUGGUCAGAGCCUAACCUACCUCAGCAUCUGUCUCCUGGCAUUCUUGCUACUCAGUACACUCUGCAAACUUCUGAACUGUACAGAACAGCAUUUGGGAUUUACUACUGAUGGCCUUAAAGCACUGCAGGGUCCUGCAAUAUCUUCUGAAAUAAGAAUAAAUUUAUUUGGCAUA